AAUAGAUACCCGGGUAGUCCACCCCGUAAACGUUGGGAACUAGUUGUGGGGUCCAUUCCACGGAUUCCGUGACGCAGCUAACGCAUUAAGUUCCCCGCCUGGGGAGUACGGCCGCAAGGCUAAAACUCAAAGGAAUUGACGGGGACCCGCACAAGCGGCGGAGCAUGCGGAUUAAUUCGAUGCAACGCGAAGAACCUUACCAAGGCUUGACAUAUACGAGAACGGGCCAGAAAUGGUCAACUCUUUGGACACUCGUAAACAGGUGGUGCAUGGUUGUCGUCAGCUCGUGUCGUGAGAUGUUGGGUUAAGUCCCGCAACGAGCGCAACCCUCGUUCUAUGUUGCCAGCACGUAAUGGUGGGAACUCAUGGGAUACUGUCGGGGUCAACUCGGAGGAAGGUGGGGAUGACGUCAAAUCAUCAUGCCCCUUAUGUCUUGGGCUUCACGCAUGCUACAAUGGCUGGUACAAAGGGCUGCAAUACCGUGAGGUGGAGCGAAUCCCAAAAAGCCGGUCCCAGUUCGGAUUGAGGUCUGCAACUCGA
rnacentral:rRNA from 1 species